GGCUGAAGACGAAGGGAUAUAGACGAGGAAGCGUUGCAAAGAAAUGUUUGUAUUCUUCUAAUAACAAUGAUGCGGCAGAAAUCUUGCAGGAAAUUCCAGACAUAUCUAUCAUGGAUUGAAUAAACUAGUACUCGAAUCCAAGGUCUCUUUUUCAGUUUUUGGCAUCAGAGAUUCAUAUGGCUUGGCACCAGACUUGUUGCAUUUGAAUUAGUACUCUUUUGUGUUAGCUGUUAACUAUCUUAUGUCUAUUGUUGCUUUUGAAUUACUGAAUUAGAACUCUUUUGUGUUAAAAAAACGCCUGUACUCUAGUUUGUAACUUUCUAGUUUCUAUACUUAGUUUUUUUUUGAUGA